UACGUAGGGUGCGAGCGUUGUCCGGAAUUAUUGGGCGUAAAGAGCUCGUAGGCGGUGUGUCACGUCGGCCGUGAAAACCUGCAGCUUAACUGUGGGCGUGCGGUCGAUACGGGCAUCACUGGAGUUCGGCAGGGGAGACUGGAAUUCCUGGUGUAGCGGUGAAAUGCGUAGAUAUCUGGAGGAACACCGGUGGCGAAGGCGGCAUUCUGGACUGCAACUGACACUGAAAGACGAAAGCCAGGGGAGCAAACGGG
rnacentral:rRNA from 1 species